GAAAAAACUAAAAGAGUUAAACAGUUAAUGUGAACCGAUAAUUCAAAGUUAUUGAAUGUUGGCUUCCUCGGCUGUGUUUAGAAGGCAACAAUUCCUGAUAAGGUCUCUUGGAGGUUUCGGUGAAUGUACCUAUCAGAAUAGACGGCAACAAAUCAAAGCCAUGAGUGGGACUUCGAUUGAGGCUGAUGCUGAGAACAUUCUAAGAGCA
rnacentral:misc_RNA from 1 species